AUGAAUUGGCCGACGUCCUCAAAACCGAAAGAGCCUGUAUCACACACAGAGAGAACACUGAGCAGAGAGAGAGGACAUUAGAGUUGUUGUACAAAGCCGCAGAGGAAAAUGUAGAUGACGUGAUACUGCGUGCAACAAUGCCCAGUAACCAAAGCAUGCACAGCGUGUCUGGGACAGACCAGAUCCUCGG